rnacentral:misc_RNA from 1 species
UCUAAACGAUUUUGGGUUAAAUUUCCUAGUGCGUCAAUAUAAGAUUAUUAUAGAUCGACAAAUAUAAAGUUUAAGUGGUGGUCCUUUUUGCCAAUGGAAGUGCAUACUAAAAGUGGAAAUAAAAAAGGAAUAUCUUUCUAGAACCUUGUGCCUAGAAUAAAGGCACACACCUAGGCGAUAAGGCGCUAGGGUUUGAGCUUGGUAAGCUUGGUGAGCCUGGUGCGCUCCUUUAAUAACUAUGGUGAAGACAAAAACAACAACUAAGCCUUGAGAUCGCCGUUUAGCUCUGUUAGACACUAGAUCUGCUUCAAUAGCCAAAACUUGGAAAUCUUAUGGUACAACUUCUCUCCACGUCAUUUUAAGCCUCUUCUUUUUCCUCCUCACUCAUUUCCCUACUAACUGACCACACUUCUAUGUCGGGACAUUUGAUUCUCUGCUUUGUACCAGACCAAACCAUCUUGAACAAUUCUCUUUCAUUUUAUCUUCAAUGUGUACUAGUUAAGGGAGUAAAGAAUUAGGUUAACAAUUAAGUGUGUUUGGUAAGAAGUUGGAGUGCGGUGAAAGUUAAAUAAAAAUAGUAAAAAUAAAUAGUCAAUAAUAAUUGUAAAAUAAUACAUAUUUAAAAGUUUAAGGUGGACUUUUAACCCUCUUCCAAACUUUGCCUAAUAUGAAAUUGAGGAUGUACUGUUUGGAUCAAUUUAGCAUGUGAAUCAUUCAACUAUUUACAUGUGUUUAUGACUCAAAUUGAUUGAAUAAAUGAAUUUCUGUGGAAAAAUUGUUCAUUUGUUAGCCAGUACUGUCUCUAUUUAACACACUACCAUGGAGAAUUUCCUGUUUGGAGAAUUUUAGCAUGGGAACCAUUUAACUAAUUUGCAUGAGUUUAUUAGGUGUCUUCAUUUUUUUAAAAAUAUAAGAAACAUUUUGCAAAUGCUUUAAUUUUUACUAUAUCUGUGCAGCCACACUGCCAUGGUGAUUGUAUCUAUGUGGUCUUAACAAUUCAACAUUUGACCAGUCGUUGUCAUUAUUCUCUUUGUUUCUGUGACAUGAAAGACUCCUGAAAAGCAGGACCAGAUCUGACCCUGUUACAUCCCCUCUCCCUGAUCAGCCCAAGGGUUUUUGCCUCCUUUUAUAUGUGCAUAUGCAAUAGCUUUGAAAGUAUAUUAUAUAAAGAUCAGGCGAUACCUUUUGACAGGGUGCUGUUCACUGCCCAUAUUACAUGAAGACCAGCACGUGCAAAUAUGGUGCAACGUGCAAAUUUGACCACCCACCUCCUGGAGAAGUCAUGACUAUUGCAGCAUCACACAGAACAUCCACUUCUACUGGUGUAGAUGUGAGUGGGGCUGAAGCUGGAACUCCCUAAUGCAGUAGCAGUGAGGCCAUAAGCAUGGAUGAAAGGAAUGUACCGAGUCAUUUUUGGCCUUUGUUUAAUUAAAAAAAAAAAAAACUGAUUUUCUUAUGGGAUUUAGCAGAAUACAGGUCAGGUAUGUCUAAUCAGCGCAAUGAAUGUAAUUCAUGUGCACUGAACGGGACACUGGAGAAACUCUGCAGUUUGUAUCCUUAUUUUCUUUUAAGCAGGUUGAAUAUCGUCUGUUGUAAUUAGCUUCUUUUUAUGUCAGGCCACAUUUGCUGUAUUGGGUUGUAGACUUUUUGCUUAAAUAUGAUCUUGCAUUCCUCCCAUAAGGGUUGUGUUUUCCUCCGGUUAAUUAAGGGGUAUUUACCGACUUUCAAACUUCAAGUAAUGCUGUAGCUAAGCCAUGAAGCCACAAUAAUGGUUGGUUUGCUGGAACUGUGGGUUUCAAUGAAUGAAAAGCAGGACUUAAUGGGAGGUAGAUUCUGCUUUCUUGAGGCAUUCACUUUAAUUCUUGCUGUUCAAUUAAGUUUGGAUAAUGAUGUAAAGCCAACUCCGUUGCCCUACAAUGAUACCUUUUUAAA